rnacentral:lncRNA from 1 species
AUUGUUCUUUAGAGCUUCUUGGCAAUCCGAUAUUAGUGGCUAGUGUAGUGGGUUCUACUUCUACACACAAAAAUUACAGCUGCUACACAUUCCUUGUGCUCAGAAAUCUCGUGAUGUUCAUCUGCAAAAAAGUCAAGCAUUGCCAACUAAUUUGUCAUACUUUGAGAAAUUAAUAUUCUCUCUUAUACACUAGCAUAACAUAAUCUGAGGGAAAGAAGCAACAAGCAUUAAAUCAAGUGAGCUUUCUUCCAGAAUUAAUAGAUUGAGCUUUAAUUCUAUCUUUUUUUUCAUGGUAAGUGAAAUUCCCUUUUUUUUUCUUGGUUAUCCUUAUGUAAUACAUAUUUGAAUGAAUCAGAAACCAUUCGUGGGACAGAAGCAAUAAACAAGAAAAGGUGUCACAUGUGGUGAAUGAGC